GGAAGAGUGUCCGAGUGGUCGAAGGAGCGCGCUUGGAAGGCGCGUGUACGCCAGAAGCGUACCGAGGGUUCGAAUCCCUCCUCUUCCG
rnacentral:tRNA from 1 species